rnacentral:rRNA from 1 species
AAGUCGAGGGAGUUGUUGGAUUCGUCUGACAUGAAACCGGCGCACGGGUGCGUAACACGUAUGCAACCUACCUUUAACUGGGGUAUAGCUCAGAGAAAUCUGAAUUAAUCCCCCAUAAGACUACGACAUGGCAUCAUGAUGUAGUUAAAGCUCCGGCGGUUAAGGAUGGGCAUGCGGUACAUUAGCUAGUUGGUGAGGUAAUGGCUCACCAAGGCUACGAUGUAUAGGGGGUCUGAGAGGAUGAUCCCCCACACUGGUACUGAGACACGGACCAGACUCCUACGGGAGGCAGCAGUAGGGAAUAUUGGUCAAUGGACGCAAGUCUGAACCAGCCAUGCCGCGUGAAGGAUGAAGGCCCUAUGGGUCGUAAACUUCUUUUAUUAGGGAAGAAAAAAUGGGAUGCGUCCUAUACUGACGGUACUUAAUGAAUAAGGAUCGGCUAACUUCGUGCCAGCAGCCGCGGUAAGACGAAGGAUCCAAGCGUUGUCCGGAUUUACUGGGUUUAAAGGGUGCGUAGACGGAAAAUUAAGUCAGUGGUGAAAGCCCGCAGCUCAACUGUGGAACUGCCAUUGAAACUGGUUUUCUUGAAUAUAGCUGAGGCAGAUGGAAUAUAACAUGUAGCGGUGAAAUGCUUAGAUAUGUUAUAGAACACCGAUUGCGAAGGCAGUCUGCUAAACUAUUAUUGACGCUGAGGCACGAA